GAACCUAUUUCAUCAAGAACUUGUAGUGGGUCUUUUGGCUACUGCUUUCCGUUGCAAAAAUGCUGGAAAGAAUAUGAUAAUUCUUCUAUUCCUCUCUCUACCUUAUUUGCAGCUAGUACAUGAAAUUUCAUCACGUAGAGACUGCUGGUACUCAUGGAGUCCAAAGAUUCAACUGUUUUUCGUGUCUCUGUGUUGGGAAGAUGUGAAAUAAAAGCCCUCUCCAACAGAGGUCUUAGCACUAGACCAGUCUCAGAUAGGAUGCAUUGCUCUCUGGAAGUGCCUCUCAACUUCUGCAGACCAUUGAAGAAGCCCAGUUGCCUUGAUGGAGUGGCGGAAGUUAAACAACAUGAACCCUAAUAAACUCAUCCACCAGACCACACUAGCAGACCUAAGAAGUUUCAAUAAUCUGGAAAAAACAUGUACAGGAAAUAUGAGGCAUAGCAAUCUUUUAUCUCCUAGGUCUUGAUAUGUUUCACAGCACAGCAUAUAUAACUCAGAUCUCUUCAAAUCUCUGUAACUGAAAACAAAACAAUACUGGAUAAGAGACAAGCACACAUUACAAAGUGGUUGAACUGGUGUAAGAUCAGUAUCCUUGUUCAUAAAUUUGAUGGUCCAAAAGGUCAAGUGUUGGCUAUGUAGAAUAUGUAGAACAGGUUACAAUCUGACAAGUUGAACUGUUUUGUUUUUGUUGGUUUUGUUUGUUUGUUUGUUUGUUUUGUUUUGUUUUGUUUAGCUUUCAUUGUUAACCUCUGGAAGAAAAAUACAUUUCGUUAUACAUAAAAGAAAAAAUGAUACUAGUAUGUGCACCAAAUUUGUCAAACAUCCAUAGAAACUUUAUGGAAAUCUUUCUUUGUUUGUUACUCAUCAUUCUUUCAUUUUAGCUAGUCUGGUGACCCAUAUGAACAUUAAAUCUUGUUAAUGAAGGAGAUAAACAACAAAAUUUGGAAGGAACAGUAAGAAACUUAAAACCUUCUACACAGUGAUAAAACAUAUUUUUUCCUAAUUAUCAGAAAAAUAUUUUCUUAUUAAUAUACACAAAUAUUUCACUGAAAAUGCUAGCUAAUUACCUGUGUAUAAAUACACAGGUCAUUCAUAGCCAGUAAGACAAGCAGUCACUCUUUCCACCUUGCAAAAUUAUGCUCACAGGUAUAGAUAGCUCAAGUUUAUAAAAAGGACCGAUAAUGAUCAUUUACAUAAUUUACAAUGUUGAAUUAUUCUUUAUUUGCCAGUCCUGGGAAACUGUCUAAUGGUUUGAAUUGCCAUUGCCUGACUGUCUGCUUAUUGAAAAUGAAUUUGAACUGCAUGGUGCUCCCUGUUCUCUACUUCAUGUAACUGCCAAUAGAAUUUCUAACAUCUUCACCAGAAGGUAUCUAAUGUAGUUGCAAUGCUGAGAUAGAUGCAUUUUAAGAAGAUAUUUUGUUAAUGAAUGUUGCUAAAAAUAUAAAAAUGUAUGAAUUUUAAACCUGUGACAGUCUACAUGAAAGUAAAGCUCUGAACAAAUGCCAUUAAAAAUUAGGACUAAUAAAAAUGAUAUCCAUUUUCUCA
rnacentral:lncRNA from 1 species